CAGUCGCCGCGGGAAUACGAAGGGUGCAAGCGUUAAUCGGAAUUACUGGGCGUAAAGCGAGCGCAGGCGGUUAGAUAAGUCUGAAGUUAAGGGCUGUGGCUUAACCAUAGUACGCUUUGGAAACUGUUUAACUUGAGUGCAAGAGGGGAGAGUGGAAUUCCAUGUGUAGCGGUGAAAUGCGUAGAUAUAUGGAGGAACACCAACGGCGAAAGCACUCUGCUGGGCCGACACUGACACUGAGAGACGAAAGCUAGGGGAGCAAAUGGGAUUAGAUACCCCGGUAGUCCCUGUCUCUUAUACA
rnacentral:rRNA from 1 species